ACUACGGGUGGCAGCAGUGGGGGAUAUUGCACAAUGGGGGGAACCCUGAUGCAGUGACGCCGCGUGGGUGAAGAAGCGCCUCGGCGCGUAAAGCCCUGUCAGCAGGGAAGAAAAUGACGGUACCUGAAGAAGAAGCCCCGGCUAACUACGUGCCAGCAGCCGCGGUAAGACGUAGGGGGCAAGCGUUAUCCGGAUUUACUGGGUGUAAAGGGGGCGCAGACGGCGAUGCAAGCCAGGAGUGAAAGCCCGGGGCCCAACCCCGGGACUGCUCUUGAAACUGCGUGGCUGGAGUGCAGGAGGGGCAGGCGGAAUUCCUGGUGUAGCGGUGAAAUGCGUAGAUAUCAGGAGGAACACCGGUGGCGAAGGCGGCCUGCUGGACUGCAACUGACGUUGAGGCCCGAAAGCGUGGGGAGCAAACAGGAUUAGAUACCCUAGUAGUC
rnacentral:rRNA from 1 species